UCCGCCCCCAUUCUUCUUCUUCUCUCUCUUGCGAUUUUCCAUUUAGGGUUUCACGAGAUCUAUGGUAUCAGCAAGAUCUCACCAGAUCCAACAAUGGUGUGGUCUGUAAAAGUGGUCGAGACAAGAUAUACGCUUCAAGAUCAGUCGAUUCAACCCGAGGUUUCUCCGGGCGAAUCUAGGGUUUCUUUAUCAGUCGCUUCAAGAUCUACGCUUCCUCAGUGAUGAAUCUCUCUAGAUCCCACACCAGAUCGACUGAUUACCUGGUGGUUGUGCGUGGAAGAUGGUGGCGAUGACACAAAGAUCUACCGUUUGGUGGCCAGAUCUACCGUUUGAAGUUGAAGAAAUGGUAUUGAAAAUGGUGAGGGAUUAAUGAUGGGUUGUCUUAUAUGAGUUGUUUGAGGAAGAACUGAUCAGCCUACAGCCCUACACCAUCUUCAAAAUGUGAUUCAACAUCAACAUCAGAUGGUUUUUUGGCUCACAAUAAAGAGAUGAACUUUAUGUCUUCUAGAUUUUAAGUUCAGGGACUGAGUUCUGAAUUCAAAUAGUCUGUAGCGAGAUGAUGGUGACUGAUAGCGCCACGGUAACCCAUCUCCACUGCUCGCAGCUGCUUUUAUGUGAGUCGGACACAGGCGCUGCCUCCGUGUUUGAAAUCAUUGGGUCGGGUGUUUGAGUCGAACAGACUCGAUCUAGCUUUUACCGAGCUUAAGAUUGAGCUGCAACUUUCUUGAUAAGUCACGAAUGGUGAGGUGACGAUGGUGGCACGUGUGCAUAAAACAAAAGGAUGGUGUUUGAGAGAAUCGAUGGCAAGGCAGUGAGCUUAAAACGGUUACAUGCCAGGCAUUCUGAUAGUUAACAGUAGUUGGAGGACAGUCGGUUAGCAAUUGAUGGCGCCAACCCAUACACCAAAGAUCAGCUCUUCUAUUAAAUGUGACCCAUAACUAAAACUAAAGAGUUUAAAUACAUAUUUACAAAAUAAGUAAUAAUACUAUUGUUUAAAUACUAAUAACACUUUUGAUGCCAAUGAUUAUUUUCCAACCGCAGCCAAAACGCGUUAGUGGUACCCAUCAUCUGUUCUGCCCAUGAUAGAUGUGGGAUU
rnacentral:lncRNA from 1 species